GAUGAACGCUGGCGGCGUGCCUAAUACAUGCAAGUCGAGCGAAUGGAUUAAGAGCUUGCUCUUAUGAAGUUAGCGGCGGACGGGUGAGUAACACGUGGGUAACCUGCCCAUAAGACCGGGAUAACUCCGGGAAACCGGGGCUAAUACCGGAUAACAUUUUGAACCGCAUGGUUCGAAAUUGAAAGGCGGCUUCGGCUGUCACUUAUGGAUGGACCCGUGUCGCAUUAGCUAGUUGGUGAGGUAACGGCUCACCAAGGCAACGAUGCGUAGCCGACCUGAGAGGGUGAUCGGCCACACUGAGACUGAGACACGGCCCAGACUCCUACGGGAGGCAGCAGUAGGGAAUCUUCCGCAAUGGACGAAAGUCUGACGGAGCAACGCCGCGUGAGUGAUGAAGGCUUUCGGGUCGUAAAACUCUGUUGUUAGGGAAGAACAAGCGCUAGUUGAAUAAGCUGGCACCUUGACGGUACCUAACCAGAAAGCCACGGCUAACUACGUGCCAGCAGCCGCGGUAA
rnacentral:rRNA from 1 species